rnacentral:rRNA from 1 species
GAUGAACGCUGGCGGCGUGCUUAACACAUGCAAGUCGAGCGAAGCGAUUUUAAGGAAGCCUUCGGGUGGAAUUAAAAUUGACUUAGCGGCGGACGGGUGAGUAACGCGUGGGUAACCUGCCUCAUACAGGGGGAUAACAGUUAGAAAUGACUGCUAAUACCGCAUAAGCGCACAGUGCUGCAUAGCACAGUGUGAAAAACUCCGGUGGUAUGAGAUGGACCCGCGUCUGAUUAGGUAGUUGGUGAGGUAACGGCCCACCAAGCCGACGAUCAGUAGCCGACCUGAGAGGGUGACCGGCCACAUUGGGACUGAGACACGGCCCAAACGCCUACGGGAGGCAGCAGGGGGGAAGAUUGGACAAUGGGGGAAACCCUGAUCCAGCGACGCCGCGUGACUGAAGAAGUAUUUCGGUAUGUAAAGGUCUAUCAGCAGGGAAGAAAAUGACGGUACCUGACUAAGAAGCCCCGGCUAACUACGUGCCAGCCGCCGCAGUAA